AAAGUCUGUUGGAACACAGCGCCUUAGAGGGUGACAGCCCCGUAACAUCUAUUCUCAUUGUAAGAUACUUUCGAAGAGUCGAGUUGUUUGGGAAUGCAGCUCUAAGUGGGAGGUAAAUUCCUUCUAAAGCUAAAUAUUGACGAGAGACCGAUAGCGAACAAGUACUGUGAAGGAAAGAUGAAAAGCACUUUGAAAAGAGAGUGAAAAAGUACGUGAAAUUGUUAAAAGGGAAGGGUAUUGAAUCAGACUUGGUGCUGUUGUUCAACUGUGUUUCGGCAUAGUGUACUCAGCAGUACUAGGCCAAGGUGGGGUGUUUGGGAGUGAAAAAGAAGUUGGAAGGUAACUCUUCGGAGUGUUAUAGCCUACUUUCAUAGCUCCUCAGGCGCCUCAGGACUGCGCUUCGGCAAGGACCUUGGCAUAAUGAUUCUAUACCGCCCGUCUUGAAACACGGACCAAGGAGUCUAACGUCUAUGCGAGUGUUUGGGUGUAAAACCCGUACGCGUAAUGAAAGUGAACGUAGAUAGGAGCAGUAAUGCGCACUAUCGACCGAUCCUGAAGUUUUCAGAUGGAUUUGAGUAAGAGCAUAGCUGUUGGGACCCGAAAGAUGGUGAACUAUGCCUGAAUAGGGUGAAGCCAGAGGAAACUCUGGUGGAGGCUCGUAGCGGUUCUGACGUGCAAA
rnacentral:rRNA from 1 species